rnacentral:rRNA from 1 species
AUUGAACGCUGGCGGCAGGCCUAACACAUGCAAGUCGAGCGGAUGAAGGGAGCUUGCUCCUGGAUUCAGCGGCGGACGGGUGAGUAAUGCCUAGGAAUCCGCCUGGUAGUGGGGGACAACGUUUCGAAAGGAACGCUAAUACCGCAUACGUCCUACGGGAGAAAGCAGGGGACCUUCGGGCCUUGCGCUAUCAGAUGAGCCUAGGUCGGAUUAGCUAGUUGGUGAGGUAAUGGCUCACCAAGGCGACGAUCCGUAACUGGUCUGAGAGGAUGAUCAGUCACACUGGAACUGAGACACGGUCCAGACUCCUACGGGAGGCAGCAGUGGGGAAUAUUGGACAAUGGGCGAAAGCCUGAUCCAGCCAUGCCGCGUGUGUGAAGAAGGUCUUCGGAUUGUAAAGCACUUUAAGUUGGGAGGAAGGGUUGUAGAUUAAUACUCUGCAAUUUUGACGUUACCGACAGAAUAAGCACCGGCUAACUCUGUGCCAGCCGCCGCCGUAAUAC